AUACUUUCCUCUCAGGGGAGACACCAGGAUCAUGAAGGUGGUUUUCCCAGGCAAGUCUUAUCCAUUGCCUUCGAAUGUGCUGAACCCUGUGAUUUCCUCAAAUGUGGGGAAUUCUACUGCAUAAUUUGUGGCACUUGGGGACUGCAUUCAUGCUCUUUCCAU